rnacentral:rRNA from 1 species
AGUGAACGCUGGCGGCAUGCCUAACACAUGCAAGUCGAGCGGCAGCGGGUCCUUCGUGCUGCCGGCGAGCGGCGGACGGGUGAGGAAUACAUCGGAAUCUGCCCUGUCGUUGGGGAUAACCUAGGGUAACUAGGCUAAUACCGCAUACGACCUACGGUUUAAAGCGCGGGAUCGCAAGACCUCGCACGACAUUGUUAGCCGAUGUCCGAUUAUCUAGUUGGCGGGGUAAAGUCCCACCAAGGCGACGAUCGGUAGCUGGUCUGAGAGGAUGAUCAGCCACACUGGGACUGAGACACGGCCCAGACUCCUACGGGAGGCAGCAGUGGGGAAUAUUGGACAAUGGGCGCAAGCCUGAUCCAGCAAUGCCGCGUGGGUGAAGAAGGCCUUCGGGUUGUAAAGCCCUUUUGUCCGGGAAGAACACGUGUGGGAUAAUCCCGCGGGCGGAUGACGGUACCGGAAGAAAAAGCCCCGGCUAACUUCGUG